rnacentral:rRNA from 1 species
AUUGAACGCUGGCGGCAGGCUUAACACAUGCAAGUCGAGCGAGCGGCGGACGGGUGAGUAAUGUCUGGGAAACUGCCUGAUGGAGGGGGAUAAAUACUGGAAACGGUAGCUAAUACCGCAUACCAUUAGCUGUGCCCAGAUGGGAUUAGCUAGUAGGUGGGGUCAAGGCUCACCUAGGCGACGCUCCCUAGCUGGUCUGAGAGGAUGACCAGCCACACUGGAACUUAGACACGGUCCCGACUCCAACGGGAGGCAGCAGGGGGGAAUAUUUCACAAUGGGCGCAAGCCUGAUGGAGCCAUGCCGCGUGUGUGAAGAAGGCCUUCGGGUUGUAAAGCACUUUCAGCGAGGAGGCGUUACUCGCAGAAGAAGCACCGGCUAACUCCGUGCCAGCCGCCGCGGUAAUUC